AGAGUUUGAUCCUGGCUCAGGACGAACGCUGGCGGCGCGCCUAACACAUGCAAGUCGAACGGAGACUGUUCAUCGGAAGUUUUCGGAUGGAAGAAGGAUAGUUUUAGUGGCGGACGGGUGAGUAACACGUGAGCAACCUGCCUUUCAGAGGGGGAUAACAGUUGGAAACGACUGCUAAUACCGCAUGACAUUAGGGGAGGGCAUCCUCUUCUAAUCAAAGGAGCAAUCCGCUGAAAGAUGGGCUCGCGGCCGAUUAGCUAGAUGGCGGGGUAGAGGCCCACCAUGGCGACGAUCGGUAGCCGGACUGAGAGGUUGAACGGCCACAUUGGGACUGAGACACGGCCCAGACUCCUACGGGAGGCAGCAGUGGGGGAUAUUGCACAAUGGGCGAAAGCCUGAUGCAGCGACGCCGCGUGAGGGAAGACGGUCUUCGGAUUGUAAACCUCUGUCUUUGGGGAAGAAGAUGACGGUACCCAAAGAGGAAGCUCCGGCUAACUACGUG
rnacentral:rRNA from 1 species